UACAGAGGGGGCAAGCGUUGUUCGGAAUUACUGGGCGUAAAGGGCGCGUAGGUGGCCUUCUAAGUUGAACGUGAAAUCCCUGGGCUCAACCCAGGAACUGCGUCCAAGACUGGGAGGCUUGAAUCCGGGAGAGGGAUGCGGAAUUCCAGGUGUAGCGGUGAAAUGCGUAGAUAUCUGGAGGAACACCGGUGGCGAAGGCAAUCCCCUGGGCCUGCACUGACGCUCAUGCACGAAAGCGUGGGGAGCAAACAGG
rnacentral:rRNA from 1 species